UACCUUGACAUGUCCGGAACUUGCCAGAGAUGGCUUGGUAGCCGAAAGGGAAUCGGAACACAGGUGCUGCAUGGCUGUCGUCAGCUCGUGUCGUGAGAUGUUGGGUUAAGUCCCGCAACCGAGCGCAACCCUUAUCAUUAGUUGCUACGCAAGGGCACUCUAAUGAGACUGCCGGUGACAAACCGGAGGAAGGUGGGAUGACGUCAAGUCCUCAUGGCCCUUAUGGGUAGGGCUUCACACGUCAUACAAUGGUCGGUACAGAGGGUUGCCAAGCCGCGAGGCGGAGCCAAUCCCACAAAGCCGAUCGUAGUCCGGAUUGUUCUCUGCAACUCGAGAGCAUGAAGUCGGAAUCGCUAGUAAUCGCAGGUCAGCAUACUGCGGUGAAUACGUUCCCGGGUCUU
rnacentral:rRNA from 1 species